AGCGAACGCUGGCGGCAGGCCUAACACAUGCAAGUCGAACGGAUCCUUCGGGAUUAGUGGCGGACGGGUGAGUAACACGUGGGAACGUGCCCUUUGGUUCGGAACAACUCAGGGAAACUUGAGCUAAUACCGGAUGUGCCCUUCGGGGGAAAGAUUUAUCGCCAUUGGAGCGGCCCGCGUCUGAUUAGCUAGUUGGUGAGGUAAAGGCUCACCAAGGCGACGAUCAGUAGCUGGUCUGAGGGGAUGACCAGCCACAUUGGGACUGAGACACGGCCCAAACUCCUACGGGAGGCAGCAGUGGGGAAUCUUGCGCAAUGGGCGAAAGCCUGACGCAGCCAUGCCGCGUGAAUGAUGAAGGUCUUAGGAUUGUAAAAUUCUUUCACCGGGGACGAUAAUGACGGUACCCGGAGAAGAAGCCCCGGCUAACUUCGUGCCAGCCGCCGCUGUAAUAC
rnacentral:rRNA from 1 species